CAGGAAAUAGUUUAGUUAAGAAAAUAUUAAUUUUGGGGAUUAAAGACAAAAGUUUAUUUUUUUCCUGA
rnacentral:tRNA from 1 species